GAGGGCAUAGCUCAGUGGUAGAGUGCAUGCCUAGCAUGCAUGAGGUCCAGGGUUCAAUCCCCAGUGCCUCCA
rnacentral:tRNA from 1 species